CACGCAUAACGCAGUAACAUUGCAAGACUCGAUCAGAGUACACAUUGAGUGAAUAAAGACGAUUCCAUUCUGAACUAAGGAAUAAAGCAGUUGUGUUUUUCUCAAGAUAUAUUCCCUGCGACAUAUCAUUUUGGCGACGAGGAUGAACUUUAGAUGAAGCUUUGCAGACUUUUUUGCAAGUUUAUCGAACCACACCUACACCAGAUAAGUCUCCAGCUGAAUUGAUGUUUCAGCGGCCUAUUCGAACAGUUCAGUCAUUAUUACUACCUCCAGUUUCACGGUCACGAAAUGAAAAGCCAGAAGCUGGUAGAAAAUUCUUCGAUCCUGGAGAAGCGGUUUAUGCCCAAGUCCACCGCAAUAAUUCCUGGGAGUGGAAACCGGCAUCAAUAGUCGAACGAGUCGGUAGAGUGAAUUACAACGUGUUUUUGGAAGACAACCAGCGAAUUAUUCGCUCACAUGCAAAUCAACUGAAGAAGCGUCUACAGGAGGAAACAUCGUGUGGAAAUAGAAAUUGUCACGACACUGGAAAUUUGUUAACUAUUUUCUUUGACGAAUUUGAAUUGGGAACUCCACAGGCAGUUGAAAACUCAAUUGAAAUGACUGAACAAGAACAUUACUAUUCAGCUGAUGAAGAGUCCGCUGAAGAAAUUGAAGGAGAAAAUUGGCAAACAUCAUCGUCCACAGUUACUACUCAAGCCACUCCACCAAUGCCUGCAUCUUCUGCUCAACCCGUGAAAGCGGAAAGACCUCGAAGAAUUCGUAGGCCACCAGCCAGGUUUGAACCGUAUUGGUGAAUUAAGGGGGGAGAUGUUGCAUAGUAACACGCAUAACGCAGUAACAUUGCAAGACUCGAUCAGAGUACACAUUGAGUGAAUAAAGACGAUUCCAUUCUGAACUAAGGAAUAAAGCAGUUGUGUUUUUCUCAAGAUAUAUUCCCUGCGACAUAUCAGAAAGUAUGCUCGUCGAAAGGGGAUGAGUCGUCGGUUGCUGAGGGGUUCCGUGUGAUUGAAGGACAGCAGUAAAGAGUUCAUCAUAACACGAGGUGAUCGAAAGGCAGGACACAAAGCAUUGGCGCUCUUGACGCACGUUUCCUGUGAGAUGGUUUCGUAUUUUUCUUUCCAUUCCGGUUACGGUGCUGGUGUGGCUACACGAGCGGGGCGCGUGUGCCCGACUUCAAACCAUGCCGGCUCAUCGCAACAAAGCGAGUACUCACCGAGGCUGAGGUAGUUAUUAUUAUGAUUAACGCAAUGCAUGUUUGCUGGCACGGGUCCUUGAACAAAAAAACAGAAGCAUAUUAUCGACUGUUGGCCAGUGUUUCGAUAAGAAGCGCAGUGUGCAAAAAGCAAAAGUGCGAAAAGUGCGUUAGAAGGUGAAGGUAAAGCGCGAUUGAAAAGAGGAUCAGAAUUAGACAGAUCAGUUAACCAAAAAAAAAAAAGAGAGAGAAGAGAAUCGGUAACAAAAAAACAACACCCGAACAUGUUCGAGGAAAACAUCGUUGGGUCCAUUUUCAUGAAAACACUACGUGCGACGUGUUUUGGCAGUUUGGCACGUGGCGACCGGUUGAUGGCAAAAUAGAAAGGUAGCGCAAAAUGCGCUCUUGACAAACGAUACACGGCUGCGUAAUGAUACUUUACAGUGCGUCUGCCAUUGUGGAGUUGUAGUUAGGGAGGAGGUUGGUUGAAGUGCUGAUUUCCUGACUCGUGUUCUCGGCGGUGGAGUGUUACGAUUGGAUUACACGUGAUACCCGGUGGAAAUGGAAGUAAUGGAUGGAAAUACCAUGCGGUGAUAAAGU